rnacentral:rRNA from 1 species
GACGAACCGUGCGAACGUUAUUCGGAAUCACUGGGCUUAAAGGGCGCGUAGGCGGGCGGCCAAGUCAGAGGUGAAAGCCCCCAGCUCAACUGGGGAAGUGCCUUUGAUACUGGUCGUCUCGAGGGAGAUAGGGGCGUGCGGAACUUCCGGUGGAGCGGUGAAAUGCGUAGAUAUCGGAAGGAACACCAGUGGCGAAGGCGGCACUCUGGGCCGGAACUGACGCUGAGGAGCGAAAGCGUGGGGAGCGAACAGG